rnacentral:rRNA from 1 species
CGCGUAGGCGGUGCGGUAAGUCUGAUGUGAAACCUCCAGGCUCAACUUGGAGCUGGCAUCAGAUACUGCCGUGCUAGAGUGCGGGAGAGGAGAGUGGAAUUCCUGGUGUAGCGGUGAAAUGCGUAGAUAUCAGGAGGAACACCGGUGGCGAAGGCGGCUCUCUGGACCGCAACUGACGCUGAGGCGCGAAAGCUAGGGGAGCAAACAGGAUUAGAUACCCUGGUAGUCCUAGCUGUAAACGAUGAACACUUGGUAUAGCGGGUAUCGAAUCCCGCCGUGCCGGAGCUAACGCAUUAAGUGUUCCGCCUGGGGAGUACGGUCGCAAGGCUGAA